rnacentral:lncRNA from 1 species
GUACUCUCCUGAGUUUUAGACACAAUUGUUUAGACUUAAGAUUUUGCUCUGAGCCUAAACCUUGUGGGUAGCAAAUGCCUGAUCUUUGUCUAGGUAGUUGACAGAUAUGAUAUGGGAAUGUUUUGCGUUGCUGUCCAUCUUGCUCCUAGAGAUGCUAGAGAUCUAGAGAAUUUUAAUUUGAAAAUCUUAAAUCGCUACAUGAUGAGUUCCUUUAUGACGAGAGUUUAAAAUUCUUACCACAGCCAAAUACUAGAUUAGGAAACCUUUCCACUAAUAUUUCAACCUAUAAGCAUUGAGGGUAGUUAAGCUAUGUAGAUGCUAAGGAACUAGUCAUGCAAUUAAAGUCAAUAUUAUGUGCUCUCCAUCCAUUGAUCUUAGUUACUUCUAUCCUUAGAAGUAUGCAACCACUUACAUCCAUUACACAUUCACUCUAUGCUACUUCUGUUUCUGGAAGUACAACCAACAUAUACGCACUACACUCUGUGUUGUUUCUAUCCUAGAGACAUGCACCUAUGAUGCUCCUACCCGGGAGUACACAUUCUUCCAUCCACAUAUAUAUUCCUCAUCCACUUAGAAAAUGUUCUUCUCCUACACUAGGAGAAGACACCCAAAAAUAGUCAUUAUAUCUUAUUCUACUUAUCCAAUAAAGCUCAAUAUAUUUCAGUUGAUACUCUCUAUUGUUAUCAGUGCAUUAAAAGGAUGGCUGAUCUUAAAAAAAAGAGAAAAGAAAGAAAGAGGACAAAAGUCCCAAUACAAAAGAAAAGAAAGACAGCCUAGUUUUUUCAGACUAGGGAGUUAUGUUAUCCCUAAUGCAAUUGUAGAAUUAGAUAUUCACCAUCUGUUAUCACCCCUUAUUGUCACUAUCAUUCUUAUCUUUCACUUCAUUCACUGCACUCACAUGCACAUAUGAAUUGAUUCUAUAAUUAGUUUCUUUGGAUCCAUGGUUUAAUUAUGCAAUAUAUGUAAGUAGGUUUGAAUUAUCUUUCCCACAUAUGAGCUCCACAUAAGCCAAUUAGAAGUAGGGUGAGAGAGAGAGAAGGCAACUAUGUGUUAGUCCUACAAAUACCACAUAUUAGCGGAGAGAAGGCAUACUCACUUGCCUU